UGGCUCACCAAGGCGACGAUGCGUAGCCGACCUGAGAGGGUGAUGGCCACAUUGGGGACUGAGACACGGCCCAGACUCCUACGGGAGGCAGCAUG
rnacentral:rRNA from 1 species